AUGCUUUUCCUCCAGUACAACGGUAGCAGCGCCCUCUGCUGUCUGUCAAGAGAAGUGACAAAGCUUACGGCACCUGGGUGGUGUGGCCGUGAAAGCCUCUUAAUUCUACCACCAGGCCUACCAAAGGUACCACAACGUGACGCAGUCUAAUAUUUUCACAAGACGACGUUGAAAUGAGACAAACUAUUUUGUUAUGAUGAGAAACAAAUCUUUUAUAACCUAAAUCGUCUGAGUAAAUACACAAUGAGUAAAUACACAAUAUAUUUAUGGAACAAAAAUAUAAUAUCGCUGUGUAUAUAUGAAAACUAAGUUAAACCAACGGGAGAAAUAAUUUUCAGGGACGCAGUGAGUAAUGAUGACCUUUGACCGAUGCUGCUUGUCGUGCGAUCUGAUUGGUUGGUUGGAAUCAUCGUCAGUCGGGUCGCACCUGUCAGUGAUGAAGUUGAUGACAGCGGCUGACCUUUCGGUUUGCGUGUGCGUGCUCGUGUGGACUCGCUACGGUAAAACGCAAAAAAAUGCAUUUUGUCGUGUUAAAACCGAACUAGUUGACUUUUAACUGUUUUAUUUAUGUUAUAUAAAUAAAAAAACGAGGGAGAGAAGAUGAUGUUUUGCCGUUUUCCGGACUGCUAAUGCUAACCGAAGCAGCGAGAAGGCUAACGUCCAGCGGCUAGCAAGGUGGACAAACGAGGAGGCUAAUGUGGACAAGGAGGACGAUAAUAAAGUCUGGGCCUUCUUGGUAAUUCAACAAUAACAGUGUCUAUGUUCAUGAAGAAUUUUUGGACUUUAUUUCGGCUGCUAAACUUGGUUUUAGCUGACUGUGCUUCCGUGUCCCUUUAAAUGCCGCUACCAGGAAGUUCAUGGUGAACAGCGAUGACAGUUGACAUACAGAGAGGAGCAACGGUCCUCAGCCCCGUCCUUCAGAGACAUUCAUGGACACAAAAUAACUUUUGCCAAUGGCUAAACCCUGCCGGGUAAAGAAAGACCCGCAGGCCGGGUGAGCAAGCCACCAGUUCCAGACGGAAGGAAGACCUGGGUGUCGUAGCCGCCAUUGAGCACUUCGCUUCGCACAGAACCUCUGCUGGGGAUGGUCCAGCUUCCACCACGACUCCUUUUCUUCACCACCGGCAGCCAUCCUUGCAGGGAAGACUGAGGGCAGCGGCGGACUCACUCCAGCCCAAAAGUACUGGUCUCCUCCACGGCGGUCAGCAUCUUCUCAUACAGCAUCGAGAAGGACGGGUAUGGAGGCAGGUCCAGCCGGUUGAAACAGAACCUGCGGGGUCCGUUGCUGCCUCGAAGAGAAGCAAAGCCCUCAUAAGGAAUACUGGACGUCCCUGUGACAAACUGAGGAGACAGAGAGAAGGCAACUUAGACACCUUUUAAACACCUUGUCUCCAAAAAGUUUAAUAAAUGGUUUACUGAAACACA